rnacentral:rRNA from 1 species
UCCCUACGGGGGGCAGCAGUGGGGAAUAUUGCGCAAUGGAGGAAACUCUGACGCAGUGACGCCGCGUAUAGGAAGAAGGUUUUCGGAUUGUAAACUAUUGUCGUGAGGGAAGAAAUUGACAGUACCUCAGGAGGAAGCUCCGGCUAACUACGUGCCAGCAGCCGCGGUAAUACGUAGGUGGCAAGCGUUGUCCGGAUUUACUGGGUGUAAAGGGCGUGUAGCCGGGCUGACAAGUCAGAUGUGAAAUUCCGGGGCUCAACCCCGGACCUGCAUUUGAAACUGUUGGUCUUGAGUAUCGGAGAGGC